rnacentral:rRNA from 1 species
CGGGGGGGCAAGCGUUGUUCGGAAUUACUGGGCGUAAAGGGUUGGUAGGUGGCCGAUUAAGUCAGACGUGAAAUCCCUCAGCUUAACUGGGGAACUGCGUCUGAUACUGGUUGGCUUGAGUGCAGGAGAGGAAUGCGGAAUUCCAGGUGUAGCGGUGAAAUGCGUAGAUAUCUGGAGGAACACCGGUGGCGAAGGCGGCGUUCUGGACUGCAACUGACACUGAACAACGAAAGCCAGGGGAGCAAACGGGAUUAGAUACCCCGGUAGUCCUGGCCCUAAACGAUGAAUGCUUGGUGUGGCGGGUAUCGAUCCCUGCCGUGCCGUAGUUAACGCGUUAAGCAUUCCGCCUGGGGAGUACGGUCGCAAGGCUG